rnacentral:rRNA from 1 species
UACGGGGGGGAGCAAGCGUUGUUCGGAUUUACUGGGCGUAAAGGGCGCGUAGGCGGUCGUGACAAGUCACUUGUGAAAUCUCCGGGCUUAACUCGGAACGGUCAAGUGAUACUGUCGGACUAGAGUACAGAAGGGGCAACUGGAAUUCUCGGUGUAGCGGUGAAAUGCGUAGAUAUCGAGAGGAACACCGGUGGCGAAGGCGGCUAACUGGCCCAACAUUGACGCUGAGACCCGAAAGCAUGGGGAUCAAACAGGAU